UACACUCUGCGUCGACCAGGAAGGCCGUGCCGGGGCAUAGGGCAGGAUAGAGGGGCAUUAGCAGCUUCCUUCCUCCCCUGAAAAUCACAGAAGCCACCCGUGCCAAGCCAUCUGACACAUCGGACGUUGACUUAUUUGUCUUGCAUAUGGUCUGUUUUCCCUGCUGGAACGUAAGCUCCGUGAGGCCCAGGAUUCCCAGAGACUACAGAGCGCCUGCCACGUAGUAGAUACUCAGUUAACAUCUGUUGCACGGAAGAAGCCUUGUUACAAAGCCGUAAGCUCUGCUGAUAAAGAGUUUGAUCUGGUCGGGAGGAGGGGGGUGAUCCAUUGCCACCUUGCCCUCAGCCGGGGCAGCUGCAUGGGUGUAUGUGUGUCUUUACUCGCAGAGAAGAGCUGGCCCUUGCUGGGAACCGCCCCCACCUCAGUCCGGGCCCCAGGGAAAGCUGCAGGUGACACAGCCUCCCUCAGGGUCACACUGGUGCCCCCACUUUGACUCCCCCCAACAGCCUAACUUCCCACGUCUCUGAGUUUGGGGCUUCUGCCAGCCUGCAGCCCUGCACUAGCCUGCCCCCACCUCCCUGGAGGCCCCCAGCAGUUCCAUCUCCGUGGUCCCCUCUGGCCAGCCUCAGUGGGCACCAGGACCACCUCUGCAUGAGACCCUGAUUGGAAAGGGCAGGCAGAACUGGCGUUUUCUCUUCUCCAUAUCCACCUCCAGCCCCAACAAGCACCAAGAAAAAGGGUUGUUGAUGGUGUUUCAGAAGCUCCAUGACCCCAUAAAAUAUGCUUCAUUUUUCUCAGAAAAUGAGCCAUUUUUUUCCCUCUGUGUUUUCAUAUGGUGCCCAGAAGUCCCUGGAUUUCCUGGAAUUCAUAUGAAGAAUUCCAGCUAUUCCAGCCGUAGUUUUCACACACACAGCUCCUGCCAACAGACUGUGGCCAUCUGGGGGCAGCCUGCGGGGGUGGAGUCAGCUCGCUCUCGAGUCCUGGAGAUCUGGCAAGGGCUUCUCAGCUGACCCUCUGCAUGCUCCUGGGUAUUUUUUAAAAACAGUUUUAUUGAGGUGUCAUUGGCAUAUAAUAA
rnacentral:lncRNA from 1 species